AUUGAACGCUGGCGGCAGGCCUAACACAUGCAAGUCGAACGGUAACAGGAAGAAGCUUGCUUCUUUGCUGACGAGUGGCGGACGGGUGAGUAAUGUCUGGGAAACUGCCUGAUGGAGGGGGAUAACUACUGGAAACGGUAGCUAAUACCGCAUAACGUCGCAAGACCAAAAAGGGGGACCUUCGGGCCUCUUGCCAUCGGAUGUGCCCAGAUGGGAUUAGCUAGUUGGUGGGGUAACGGCUCACCUAGGCGACGAUCCCUAGCUGGUCUGAGAGGAUGACCAGCCACACUGGAACUGAGACACGGUCCAGACUCCUACGGGAGGCAGCAGUGGGGAAUAUUGCACAAUGGGCGCAAGCCUGAUGCAGCCAUGCCGCGUGUAUGAAGAAGGCCUUCGGGUUGUAAAGUACUUUCAGCGGGGAGGAAGGGAGUAAAGUUAAUACCUUUGCUCAUUGACGUUACCCGCAGAAGAAGCACCGGCUAACUCCGUG
rnacentral:rRNA from 1 species